UUGGCAAAACUGAUGAAAAUCAGCGACGCAAAGCUAAAGGGUCUAAAUCAGAGAUGAUAUGACAGCCAGUUGCC
rnacentral:ncRNA from 1 species